CUGCCAACAAGCUUACCUGCAAUCUGCUUCAUAAAUGUCAUGCAAACACCGUCAGCUCCCAGAACUCCACUCUUCACCAGUUCCCGAACCAACCACACCAACUAAAGGAGAGGAGAAGACACACAGAGCAGAGAUCCAGAGCCAGAAAAUACAAGAGUGCCAAAGAUGGAGAAAACACAGGAACUGUGAGAGCCUGCGGUGGAGACAUAUCUACACCAGUCAUGACCACGGACAACCACACAACCUCUGAGACCUUAACACAGCAACACCUGACAACUUGCAAGGGAGAGUUCCAAUGUAGUUCCCCCACUACCACAGAUCCUGCAUAGAAAAGGUACUUAUCUAAAACUGCUCCUGGUGAUGCAUAUCUAUAACCUUAGCAUUUGAGAAGUGGAGGCUGAAAGAUCUGGAAUUCAAAGCUAGCCUGUCUAAAACAAAUCAAAGACAAAUAAA